rnacentral:misc_RNA from 1 species
GAUGAAGAACGUAGCGAAAUGCGAUAAGUAGUGUGAAUUGCAGACUUUAGUGAAUCAUCGAAUCUUUGAACGCACAUUGCGCCCCUUGGUAUUCCAUUGGGCAUGCCUGUUCGAGCGUCAUUUACACCCUCAAGCUCACGCUUGGUGUUGGGCGUCUGUCCGCGCUUUCGAGCGUGGACUCGCCCCAAAUCCAUUGGCAGCCGGCAAUCUGGUGUUUGAGCGCAGCACAUUUUGCGCUCUUCGCUGUGUAUGGCGGCGUCCAUGAAGCCUAUAUUUUCGCGCUUGACCUCGGAUCAGGUAGGGAUACCCGCUGAACUUAAGCAUAUCAAUAAGCGGAGGA